UCCGGUAUGGUGUAACGGCUAACAUUGUCGCCUUUCACAUGCAAAUGUGAUUAUUUAAUCGCGACGGCUCGGGGUUCGAUUCCCCGUACCGGAG